AUACGUAGGGUGCGAGCGUUAAUCGGAAUUACUGGGCGUAAAGCGUGCGCAGGCGGUUUUGUAAGUCUGAUGUGAAAUCCCCGGGCUUAACCUGGGAACGGCCUUUGAGACUGCACGGCUAGAGUACGGCAGAGGGGGGGAGAAUUCCACGUGUAGCAGUGAAAUUCGUAGAUAUGUGGAGGAACACCGAUGGCGAAGGCAGCCCCCUGGGAUGGUACUGACGCUCAUGCACGAAAGCGUGGGGAGCAAACAGGAUUAGAUACCCUGGUAGUCCACGCCCUAAACGAUGUCAAUUAGCUGUUGGGGGUUUGAAUCCUUGGUAGCGUAGCUAACGCGUGAAAUUGACCGCCUGGGGAGUACGGCCGCAAGGUUAA
rnacentral:rRNA from 1 species